AUUGAACGCUGGCGGCAGGCCUAACACAUGCAAGUCGAGCGAGCGGCGGCCGGGUGAGUAAUGUAUGGGGACUGCCCGAUUGAGGGGGAUAACUACUGGAAACGGUGGCUAAUACCGCAUACUAUCGGAUAACCCAUAUGGGAUUAGCUAGUAGGUGGGGUAAAGGCUCACCUAGGCGACGAUCUCUAGCUGGUCUGAGAGGAUGAUCAGACAGACUGGGACUGAGACACGGCCCAGACUCCUACGGAGGCAGCAGUGGGGAAUCUUCGGCAAUGGGCGAAAGUCUGACCGAGCCACGCCGCGUGAGUGAAGAAGGUUUUCGGGUCGUAAAGCUCUGUUGUUAGGGAAGCGGUAUCUAACCAGGAAGCCACGGCUAACUACGUGUCAGCCGCCGCGGUAAUUC
rnacentral:rRNA from 1 species